rnacentral:rRNA from 1 species
UGGCUGUCGUCAGCUCGUGUCGUGAGAUGUUGGGUUAAGUCCCGCAACGAGCGCAACCCUUGAUCUUAGUUGCCAUCAUUAAGUUGGGCACUCUAAGGUGACUGCCGGUGACAAACCGGAGGAAGGUGGGGAUGACGUCAAAUCAUCAUGCCCCUUAUGACCUGGGCUACACACGUGCUACAAUGGACGGUACAAAGAGCUGCAAGACCGCGAGGUGGAGCUAAUCUCAUAAAACCGUUCGGCUGCAACUCGCCUACAUGAAGCUGGAAUCGCUAGUAAUCGCGGAUCAGCAUGCCGCGGUGAAUACGUUCCCGGGCCUU